UACGGAGGGUGCGAGCGUUGUCCGGAAUUAUUGGGCGUAAAGCGCUCGUAGGCGGUCUGUCGCGUCGGCUGUGAAAACUCGGGGCUCAACCCCGAGCCUGCAGUCGAUACGGGCAGACUAGAGUGCUGUAGGGGAGACUGGAAUUCCUGGUGUAGCGGUGAAAUGCGCAGAUAUCAGGAGGAACACCGGUGGCGAAGGCGGGGGUCUGGGCAGUAACUGACGCUGAGGAGCGAAAGCGUGGGGAGCGAACAGG
rnacentral:rRNA from 1 species